rnacentral:rRNA from 1 species
AGUGAACGCUGGCGGUAGGCCUAACACAUGCAAGUCGAACGGCAGCACAGUAAGAGCUUGCUCUUACGGGUGGCGAGUGGCGGACGGGUGAGGAAUACAUCGGAAUCUACUUUUUCGUGGGGGAUAACGUAGGGAAACUUACGCUAAUACCGCAUACGACCUACGGGUGAAAGCAGGGGAUCUUCGGACCUUGCGCGAUUGAAUGAGCCGAUGUCGGAUUAGCUAGUUGGCGGGGUAAAGGCCCACCAAGGCGACGAUCCGUAGCUGGUCUGAGAGGAUGACCAGCCACACUGGAACUGAGACACGGUCCAGACUCCUACGGGAGGCAGCAGUGGGGAAUAUUGGACAAGGGGCGCAAGCCUGAUCCAGCCAUACCGCGUGGGUGAAGAAGGCCUUCGGGUUGUAAAGCCCUUUUGUUGGGAAAGAAAAGCAGCAGGUUAAUACCCCGCUGUUCUGACGGUACCCAAAGAAUAAGCACCGGCUAACUUCGUG